rnacentral:rRNA from 1 species
CGCGAACGGGUGAGUAACGCGUAGGUAACCUGCCUGAUAGUGGGGGAUAACUAUUGGAAACGAUAGCUAAUACCGCAUAAGAGUCGUUAACACAUGUUAAUGAUUUAAAAGGAGCAAUUGCUUCACUAUCAGAUGGACCUGCGUUGUAUUAGCUAGUUGGUGAGGUAACGGCUCACCAAGGCCUCGAUACAUAGCCGACCUGAGAGGGUGAUCGGCCACACUGGGACUGAGACACGGCCCAGACUCCUACGGGAGGCAGCAGUAGGGAAUCUUCGGCAAUGGGGGCAACCCUGACCGAGCAACGCCGCGUGAGUGAAGAAGGUUUUCGGAUCGUAAAGCUCUGUUAUAAGCGAAGAACGGGAGUAAGAGUGGAAAGUUUACUCUGUGACGGUAGCUUAUCAGAAAGGGACGGCUAACUACGUGCCAGCAGCCGCGGUAAUACGUAGGUCCCGAGCGUUGUCCGGAUUUAUUGGGCGUAAAGCGAGCGCAGGUGGUUUAAUAAGUCUGAAGUUAAAGGCAUUGGCUCAACCAAUGUACGCUUUGGAAACUGUUGAACUUGAGUGCAGAAGGGGAGAGUGGAAUUCCAUGUGUAGCGGUGAAAUGCGUAGAUAUAUGGAGGAACACCGGUGGCGAAAGCGGCUCUCUGGUCUGUAACUGACACUGAGGCUCGAAAGCGUGGGUAGCGAACAGGAUUAGAUACCCUGGUAGUCCACGCCGUAAACGAUGAGUGCUAGGUGUUGGGUCCUUUCCGGGACUCAGUGCCGCAGCUAACGCAUUAAGCACUCCGCCUGGGGAGUACGACCGCAAGGU